ACGUGAACGCUGGCGGCGUGCUUAACACAUGCAAGGUCGAAACGAGAACGGACUUAAGCUUGCUUAAGUUGUCAGCUAAGUGGCGCACGGGUGAGUAAUGUAUAGUUAACCUGCCCUCUAGAGAGGAAUAACAGUUGGAAACGACUGCUAAUGCCUUAUAUGCCUUUUAAGACAGAAGUCUGCAAGGGAAAUGCUUUAGUGCUAGAGGAUGGGACUGUAUGGUAUCAGUUUAGUUGGUGGGGGUAAUGGCUUACCAAGACAAUGA
rnacentral:rRNA from 1 species